GGACGAGUGGUGAAAUUGGUAGACACGCGGGAUUUAGGUUCCCGUGCCCAACAGCGUGAGGGUUCGAGUCCCUCCUCGUCCACCA
rnacentral:tRNA from 1 species